rnacentral:rRNA from 1 species
ACUCCUACGGGAGGCAGCAGUGGGGAAUAUUGCACAAUGGGCGCAAGCCUGAUGCAGCCAUGCCGCGUGUGGUGAAGAAGGCCUUCGGGUUGAUAAGCACUUUCAGUCGUGAGGAAGUAAGNGUAGUUAAUAGCUGCAUAUUUGACGUUAGCGACAGAAGAAGCACCGGCUAACUCCGUGCCAGCAGCCGCGGUAAUACGGAGGGUGCGAGCGUUAAUCGGAAUUACUGGGCGUAAAGCGCAUGCAGGUGGUUUGUUAAGUCAGAUGUGAAAGCCCGGGGCUCAACCUG